GUGUUAAAAGAAACCAGGCAGCACAUACACUAAAAUUGGAAUGACAGAGAUGAGUAUAGACUCCGCACAAGGAUGACAUCCAAAUUCAUGAAGCAUUUCAUAUUUUU